AGAGUUUGAUCCUGGCUCAGGACGAACGCUGGCGGCGUGCUUAACACAUGCAAGUCGAACGAGGUCCACUGAGUAGCAAUACAAGGGAAGACCUAGUGGCGAACGGGUGAGUAUCACGUGAGAAACCAACCCCGGUCUCUGGGAUAACAGUUGGAAACGACUGCUAAUACUGGAUGUCGUCGUACCCUCGCAUGGGGGGAUGACGAAAGGGUUACCGGAUCGGGACGGUCUCGCGGCCUAUCAGCUUGUUGGGGAGGUAACGGCUCACCAAGGCUUCGACGGGUAGCUGGUCUGAGAGGAUGAUCAGCCACACUGGGACUGAGACACGGCCCAGACUCCUACGGGAGGCAGCAGUGGGGAAUCUUGCGCAAUGGGCGAAAGCCUGACGCAGCAACGCCGCGUGCGGGAUGAAGGCCUUCGGGUUGUAAACCGCUUUUAACAGGAACGAAAAUGACGGUACCUGUAGAAUAAGGUGCGGCCAACUACGUGCCAGCAGCCGCGGUGACACGUAGGCACCAAGCGUUGUCCGGAUUUAUUGGGCGUAAAGAGCUCGUAGGCGGUUCAGUAAGUCGGGUGUGAAAACUCUGGGCUUAACCCAGAGACGCCACUCGAUACUACUGUGACUAGAGUUCGGUAGGGGAGCGGGGAAUUCCUAGUGUAGCGGUGAAAUGCGCA
rnacentral:rRNA from 1 species